GAUGAGAACGCAGCGAAAUGCGAUAAGUAAUGUGAAUUGCAGAAUUCAGUGAAUCAUCGAAUCUUUGAACGCACCUUGCGCUCCUUGGUAUUCCGAGGAGCAUGCCUGUUUGAGUGUCAUUAAAUUCUCAACCUCACCAGUUUUCUGAACUGUUCUCCGAGGCUUGGAUGUGGGGGUUUGUGCAGGCUGCCUCAGCGCGGUCUGCUCCCCUGAAAUGCAUUAGCGAGUUCGAUACUGAGCUCCGUCUAUUGGUGUGAUAAUUAUCUACGCCGUGGAUCGGGGCUUAGACUCGCUUCUAACCGUCCGCAAGGACAAUACCUUGACAAUUUGACCUCAAAUCAGGUAGGACUACCCGCUGAACUUAAGCAUAUCAAUAAGCGGAGGA
rnacentral:misc_RNA from 1 species